rnacentral:tRNA from 1 species
GCGAGGGUACCCAAGCGGUCAACGGGGCAGGACUUAAGAUCCUGUGGCUGAGCGCCUUCGGGGGUUCGACUCCCCUCCCUCGCA